GACGAACGCUGGCGGCGUGCUUAACACAUGCAAGUCGAACGGGGUAUCUUUAGCAAUAAAGGUAUCUAGUGGCGGACGGGUGAGUAACGCGUGAGGAACCUGCCUUCAAGAGGGGGAUAACAUCGAGAAAUCGAUGCUAAUACCGCAUAAGACCACGCUCCCGCAUGGGAGAGGGGUCAAAGCUAUUGCGCUUGAAGAUGGACUCGCGUCCCAUUAGCUAGUAGGCGGGGUAAUGGCCCACCUAGGCAACGAUGGGGUAGCCGAGCUGAGAGGCUGAACGGCCACACUGGGACUGAGACACGGCCCAGACUCCUACGGGUGGCUG
rnacentral:rRNA from 1 species